rnacentral:rRNA from 1 species
CCUACGGGAGGCAGCAGUGGGGAAUAUUGCACAAUGGGGGAAACCCUGAUGCAGCGACGCCGCGUGAGUGAAGAAGUAAUUCGGUAUGUAAAGCUCUAUCAGCAGGGAAGAAAAUGACGGUACCUGAGUAAGAAGCCCCGGCUAACUACGUGCCAGCAGCCGCGGUAAUACGUAGGGGGCAAGCGUUAUCCGGAUUUACUGGGGGUAAAGGGAGCGUAGACGGCAGUGCAAGUCUGGAGUGAAAGGCGGGGGCUCAACCCCCGGACUGCUCUUGAAACUGUACGGCUGGAGUGCAGGAGAGGUAAGUGGAAUUCCUAGUGUAGCGGUGAAAUGCGUAGAUAUUAGGAGGAACACCAGUGGCGAAGGCGGCUUACUGGACUGUAACUGACGUUGAGGCUCGAAAGCGUGGGGAGCAAACAGGAUUAGAUACCCCAGUAGUC